rnacentral:rRNA from 1 species
AACGUAGGAGACAAACGUUAUCCGGAGUUACUGGGCGUAAAGGGCGUGCAGGUGGUCUGUUAAGUCUGGCGUGAAAGCUCCUGGCUAAACCGGGAGAGGUCGUUGGAUACUGGCGGACUAGAGGACGGUAGAGGCGUGUGGAAUUCCGGGUGUAGUGGUGAAAUGUGUAGAGAUCGGGAGGAACACCGGUGGCGAAGGCGGGCCUCUGGGCAUUUCCUGACGCUGAGGCGCGAAAGCGUGGGGAGCAAACGGG